GACGAACGCUGGCGGCGUGCUUAACACAUGCAAGUCGAACGGUGAAGGGGCCUGCUUUUGUGGGCCCUGGAUGAGUGGCGAACGGGUGAGUAACACGUGAGUAACCUGUCCCCUUCUUCUGGAUAACCGCAUGAAAGUGUGGCUAAUACGGGAUAUUUUGGGUCUGUCGCUUGAUGGGUCUGGGAUAGUUUGGGCCUUUGGGUGAUUUUGGUGGGGGAUGGGCUCGCGGCCUAUCAGCUCGUUGGUGGGGUGGUGGCCUACCACGGCGGUGACGGGUAGCCGGCCUGAGAGGGUGGACGGUGACACUGGGACUGAGACACGGCCCAGACACCUACGGGAGGCAGCGGUGGGGAAGAUUGCACGAAGGGCGCAAGCCUGAUGCAGCGACGCCGCGUGAGGGAUGGAGGCCUUCGGGUUGUAAACCGCUUUCGCCAGUGAAGCAGGCCUGCUCCUUGUGAGUGGGUUGACGGUAGCUGGAUAAGAAGCGCCGGCUAACUACGUG
rnacentral:rRNA from 1 species